GCAUAGGCUCCCCGCAAGGGGGGUGUGGAUAGUGACCUGUGCUCGCACCCAGGCUUCUUGGUGGCGGCAGUAGCAGCCUUAGCGUCUCAUGCCCGUCCCUGGGGUCUGCGCUUUUAGCCACGGCUCGCGCCCGUCUCUGGAGCUCUUUUAAGCAGCGCUCUUAAUCCCCUCUCCUCGCGCACCAGGAAACAAAGAGGGAAGAAAAAGUCUCUUGCCUUUUCGGCAGGUCCAGACUUUUCCCCGGAAUCCCUCCCGGCCAGCCGUGGUGCACUAACCUCCUGCAGGCUGUGUUCACGCCGCCAACCCCAGUCCUCUCCCGGCGCUCCGACCGAAGCCCGAGCCUCAACUCCCAGCCCCGCCCGCCCCGGCAGGUGAGCAGACAAGCCUCUCGGACUGGUCUGCUUUUGAGCUGCUCUUCUCAAGGUGGCCCCAGCCAAGACCAGGAAUCAUAUAAGCUUCUUGAUUAUAUGAACUUCAUACCCACCAAACCUGGAUUCAUCCUGACCCAGCCCUAUGGAUUCUUCCUCCGUGGUGUUUCUUGACUCUGCGCCAUCUUUCUGUUUACUGCAGACAUCACCUUUCUUCAGACACCAUUUCAUCUUGUGGUGGUCCAGCAGAAAGUCGUAUCUGAAGAGAAUCCAGAACUCCAGCAUGUCGGUGCAGUAGUGGGUCGGAGCCAAUGAACACAUACUCUGCUGUUGUGCAUCAAGCUCUCCAGGUCCCACUAUUUUCUAUCUCGUGGAUGCCGGGAAGCAGCACCACAAGCCACAUGUCCCUUUGGGGAUGAAGGUGUGACUCUUCCCACUGCUGACAGAAAGCCCUCGGGGAUUGCCUCUCCUAAAGGGAGCUGCUUUGUCCAAGGUUGUUUCCUGAAACACGUUCCUCCAAUUCCUACACAACAUUGCCAAAGACAUUACCAUUCAAGACGGCAUCGGUUGCUUAUUGAAAACCUUUUGCUCCCUCACCACCACUUAAGUAAACGUGACCAAAAUGUGGCAUUCAAUGCUAUUCUCAAUCUGCUCCAGUCCCCCUUUCCCAGCUCCACUGUGCCACCAGGUAAGCCCACUUCUAUAUCCUUUAUGAACUGGAAUCAAAAAAGAGCUCUAGGGCUUCCCUGGUGGCACAGUGGUUGAGAAUCCGCCUGUCAGUGCAGGGGACACGGGUUUGAGCCCUCUGCCGGGAAGAUCCCACAUGCCUGCCACAGAGCAACGAAGCCCGGCGCCACAACUACUGAGCCUACGCUCUAGAGCCCUCGAGCCACAACUACUGAAGCCCGUGCGCCUAGAGCACGUGCUCCGCAACAAGAGAAGCCACCGCAAUGAGAAGACUCCGUACCGUAAUGAAGAGUAGCCCCCGCUCGCCGCAACUAGAGAAAGCAGGAGUGCAGCAAUGAAGACCCAAUGCAGCCAACAAUAAAUAAAUUAAUUUAAAAAAUAGGAUAUAGAAGUAUUAUUCAACCAAAAAUGCAAAAUGACAAAAUAUAAAUGAAAAAGUGAAAUGCAAGCAUGCUGUUAUUUAACAGUGGUCAUCAAUAUCAGUGAGCCAGAAGAGUAAACAGAAGCAUAGCUCCUGAGCCUGAUUAUUCUCCAUCGCAGUAAGAUGUGUAUAAAAAAGGAGGGGAUGGUGCUGGCCUUUGAGCUGAUUUUUUAAGAAAUGCAGUAGACUUGUACAUUUGUGAAACAAUUGGGCAACGUCAGCGAUACAUUUUGUGGUAUACUGUGUCCUCAGCAAGCAAAUUGAUCUCUAGAGAAAAUACCUAUAGUGCAUUAAACAUGGCUGCAAGUUCUUUGCCACUCCUCUCAUUAAGAGGUGGAUCUAUAUCCUUUCACCCUGAGUCUGCGCUGGCCCUCUGACUCUCCUCAUCCAAUAGAAAGCAGCAGAAGUGACACUGUGUACCUUCCAAGGCUGAGCCUGGAGAGGCCUGCAGUUUCUCUUGUGUGCGAGAAAUGCUCCCUUUUGGAACCCAGACUAUGCCAUGAGACACUCAAGCCAUGUGGAAAAACCGAAUGGAGAAGAACUAAGGUGCUCUGGUCAGCAGUCCCAGAUGAGCGUCCAGCCACCAGCCAGUGCCAACUGCCAAGCACACUGGUGAGGCAACUGAGAAGUUCCACCCUGGUGAAGUCCCCACCCAGCACCACACAGAGCAGAAGAAACAUCCAGCUGAGCCUGGUUAACGCUCAGAAAUGUGAAAGACAGUAAAUGGCUGUUGUUAUUUUAAGCCACCAAGUGCUGGUGUGGUUUGCUUUCCAGCAAUAGAUAACCAAAACAAACCCUGAUUCAGAAUCAGGCAGGGUGAACUUACUGGAAAGUGAGACCAAUUCAAAAUUCUGCUCAGCCCUAGGAAUACCAAAGUGGGACAGAAAUAAGACUUUCUGCCUCCCAGGCAAUUCCCAAGAGAAAGAGCUCAGUUGGCUGUGGAAGAAUUAAUAAAACAAUGCAGUAAAGUGAGAUAAACUGCUUUGUCAGCAGUGUCACUGGCAAAGUGUACAAAACCUAUCAUGCCGUUAAAGUAAGCAGUCUAAUUACUACAAUAUGUAUGAAGUGAAAUAAUCAACUUGCAGUUUGAUGAGAAGAGUAUAUAAAAUCAGUAGCUGUAAACAGC